rnacentral:rRNA from 1 species
GACGAACGCUGGCGGCGUGCUUAACACAUGCAAGUCGAACGGAAAGGCCCCCUUGUGGGGUACUCGAGUGGCGAACGGGUGAGUAACACGUGAGUAACCUACCCUUGACUUUGGGAUAACUUCAGGAAACUGGGGCUAAUACCGGAUAGGAGCUCCUGCUGCAUGGUGGGGGUUGGAAAGUUUCGGCGGUUGGGGAUGGACUGUCGGCUGAUCAGCUUGUUGGUGGGGUAGUGGCUAACCAAGGCUUAGACGGGUAGCCGGCCUGAGAGGGUGACCGGCCACAUUAGGACUGAGAUACGGCCCAGACUCCUACGGGAGGCAGCAGUGGGGAGUAUUGCACAAUGGGCGGGAGCCUGAUGCAGCAACGCCGCGUGCGGGAUGACGGCCUUCGGGUUGUAAACCGCUGUCGCCUGUGACGAAGCGUGAGUGACGGUAAUGGGUAAAGAAGCACCGGCUAACUACGUG